CGGACGGGUGAGUAACGCGUGGAAAACCUGCCGUAUACUGGGGGAUAACACUUAGAAAUAGGUGCUAAUACCGCAUAAGCGCACAGCUUCGCAUGAAGUGGUGUGAAAAACUCUGGUGGUAUACGAUGGUUCCGCGUCUGAUUAGCUUGUUGGUGGGGUAAUGGCUCACCAGGGCGACGAUCAGUAGCCGGCCUGAGAGGGUGAACGGCCACAUUGGGACUGAGACACGGCCCAAACUCCUACGGGAGGCAGCAG
rnacentral:rRNA from 1 species